UACGGAGGAUGCAAGCGUUAUCCGGAAUGAUUGGGCGUAAAGGGUCCGCAGGUGGCCGUGUAAGUCUGCUGUCAAAGAAUGAGGCUUAACCUCAUCAAGGCAGUGGAAACUACACAGCUAGAGUACGGUCGGGGUAGAAGGAAUUCCUGGUGUAGCGGUGAAAUGCGUAGAGAUCAGGAAGAACACCGGUGGCGAAAGCGUUCUGCUGGACCUGUACUGACACUGAGGGACGAAAGCUAGGGGAGCGAAUGGG
rnacentral:rRNA from 1 species